AAGACUAUACUUUCAGGGAUCAUUUCUAUAGUUCAUUACUAGAGAAGUUUCUCUGAAUGGGUAGAGCACUGGAAACCAUGAGGAGGAGGCACAGUGUUCUCUCCUGAGCAUGAAGCUGACUCUUGGUGUUGCUUCACUGCACCUGCCAUGUGCCAUUGAUGAUUGUUCUUGUCUUCCUCUGGGAGAGUAAGACGGAGAGCAUGCAGUCUGAGUGCU
ensembl:snoRNA U3 Small nucleolar RNA U3